AUUGAACGCUGGCGGCAUGCUUUACACAUGCAAGUCGAACGGUAACAGGCCGCAAGGUGCUGACGAGUGGCGAACGGGUGAGUAAUGCAUCGGAACGUGCCCAGUCGUGGGGGAUAACUACUCGAAAGAGUAGCUAAUACCGCAUACGAUCUAUGGAUGAAAGCGGGGGACCGUAAGGCCUCGCGCGAUUGGAGCGGCCGAUGUCAGAUUAGGUAGUUGGUGGGGUAAAGGCUCACCAAGCCAACGAUCUGUAGCUGGUCUGAGAGGACGACCAGCCACACUGGGACUGAGACACGGCCCAGACUCCUACGGGAGGCAGCAGUGGGGAAUUUAGGACAAUGGGCGCAAGCCUGAUCCAGCAAUGCCGCGUGCAGGAAGAAGGCCUUCGGGUUGUAAACUGCUUUUGUACGGAACGAAACGGCUCUGGUUAAUACCCGGGGAUAAUGACGGUACCGUAAGAAUAAGCACCGGCUAACUACGUG
rnacentral:rRNA from 1 species